GUGGAUCUAUUAGUCAUCGUGUAUUCUGAAGGGAGACCUCAUAACGGGAGACGUUGCAGAGAGGCCUGCUUAAAACAUCAUACGGAUGGCCCAGACCCCAAAGCCCUCAAGGCUUUGCAUGUGAGGUACUCUCUUAAGAUGCACUCCCUGUGUCUCCCUGGCAAGGCAUCUGCUGCUGGCCAUUGUCAGACUAGCAAGGUUUGCUCCUGGGUUAGACAGCCCAAGGUAACGUGCGCAGAAAAUCCUGCCUGGAUCGGUCCCCUCUCAGGAAUAUCCACACAAAGGUCUGCUCUUCACAGCAUCCAAAUGACAGGGUGCAUUUCCACCAGUUUCCUGUGCUUUGGUCUGCUGGGCGUUCACACCAGUCAGCAAAGACGAGAGGGCACUCGUGAUGUGGUCAAAUACUUCCAGUUGUCGAAAACGUCCUUAAGUUUGUCAAAAUGAAGGGCAACACAGUUAUUAAAAACAAAUAAAAACAAAUAACUGGC
rnacentral:lncRNA from 1 species